UGGGGAAUAUUGGACAAUGGGUGUAAACCUGAUCCAGCCAUGCCGCGUGAGUGAUGACGGCCUUCGGGUUGUAAAGCUCUUUUAGAUGGGAAGAUAAUGACGGUACCAUCAGAAUAAGCACCGGCUAACUUCGUGCCAGCAGCCGCGGUAAUACGAAGGGUGCAAGCGUUAUCCGGAAUUACUGGGUGUAAAGGGUGAGUAGGCGGCAUAGUAAGUCAUAUGUGAAAGCCCGCAGCUUAACUGCGGAGUUGCAUGAGAAACUAUUGAGCUAGAGUGCAGGAGAGGCAAGCGGAAUUCCUAGUGUAGCGGUGAAAUGCGUAGAUAUUAGGAAGAACUCCAAUUGCGAAGGCAGCUUGCUGGACUGUAACUGACGCUGAUGCUCGAAAGUGUGGGUAUCAAACA
rnacentral:rRNA from 1 species